UACGUAGGGUGCGAGCGUUAAUCGGAAUUACUGGGCGUAAAGCGUGCGCAGGCGGUUUUGUAAGCCAGAUGUGAAAUCCCCCGGGCUUAACCUGGGAAUGGCAUUUGGGACUGCAAGGCUGGAGUGUGGCAGAGGAGACUGGAAUUCCUGGUGUAGCAGUGAAAUGCGUAGAUAUCAGGAGGAAUACCGAUGGCGAAGGCAGGUCUCUGGGCUGACACUGACGCUCAUGCACGAAAGCGUGGGGAGCGAAACAA
rnacentral:rRNA from 1 species